GGGGGCGAAUGGCUUCGACCGGAUGGCGGAGAGCCAUGUUGCAUGUCCAGGAUGCCGGUUGGCCUGGCUAAUCAUCCGGCAGUAAAACUUAAUUGGCAACUACCAGUUGCGAAUGGCUGCUUAAUUAAGUGGCCCGUCCUGCAGGACUUUGCCUGUGGGUUCUGCAAGGGCGUCAGAUAGCAGGCUGGCCCAGCCGGUUGUUCGGGCCGGCUGCGGCGAGAACCACCGAAAUAGCCGAACCAAUAGCCUGUCGUUUGGCGAUUGGAUAGGCGAAAAAUCAAUAAAACGCCUAAGCAUGUAGACGCUUGUCUCAAAACAUCUCGGGACGGGGGUUCGAAUCCCCCCGCCUCCAUUU
rnacentral:tmRNA from 1 species